UUUUUUUUUUUUUAAUUUUUCUCUGAAGUUAUUUUUGUCAGAAAAUACUUUAGUUGUCAUAGCAGAUUAAUUAGUGCGUUAGCUUUGGCGUAAUUGUCGAAAUUUUUCUGUAAUAAAUAUUGUCAAAGUUCCCUGGAUUUUUUUUCUCCAGACUCGGCGUCAAAAUGGAGUUGCAAGUGUAUCCAGUCCAUCUGCUAGGGGUUCAUUUAGUUGUUGUUAUUUAUUUUUAACUAUAUUUGAAUUGGCUAUUCAUUUAUUAGUUGGCUUUAUUAAUAACAAGCUUAUUUUUCGGCCAAAAA
rnacentral:misc_RNA from 1 species